UUGACCUCAAAUCGGGUGAACUACCCGCUGAACUUAAGCA
rnacentral:rRNA from 1 species